rnacentral:rRNA from 1 species
GAUGAACGCUAGCGGAAGGCUUAAUACAUGCAAGUCGAGCGGUAGGUGGCUUCGGCCAUUGAGAGCGGCGCACGGGUGAGUAACGCGUACAUGACCUGCCUGUCAGAAGGGGAUAGCCCUGGGAAACUGGGAUUAAUACCCUAUGGUAUUGAUAUUAUGAAUGAUAUCAAUUAAAGUUGAGGCGCUGACAGAUGGAUGUGCGUCUGAUUAGCUAGUUGGUAGGGUAACGGCCUACCAAGGCGACGAUCAGUAGGGGGCGUGAGAGCGUGGUCCCCCACACGGGUACUGAGACACGGACCCGACUCCUACGGGAGGCAGCAGUAAGGAAUAUUGGUCAAUGCCCGCAAGGGUGAAACCAGCCAUUCCGCGUGGAGGAUGAAGGCCCUAUGGGUUGUAAACUUCUUUUAGAUGGGAAGAAAAUGCUAGAUGUAUCUGGUACUGACGGUACCAUCAAGAAUAAGCACCGGCUAACUCCGUGCCAGCAGCCGCGGUAA